rnacentral:lncRNA from 1 species
UGCCACCGAACACAACAUGCCAAAUUUUGAUUUUGAGAAGCAUCCAAACACUUCCACACAAGCAAAUGCCAAUUGUGAAAGAGAUCAUGCCAUGGCAGCUAUAAAUAGGCCCGUAGCAUGACGAUCAUCCUUCCUCAUCCAUCAUUCUCAUAAGUAGAGCGCAUCAUUUAAGCCAAGCAAGCAGUGCUCAAUACAAAUCCACCAUGAAGACCUUUCUCAUCCUUGCCCUCCUUGCUAUUGUGGCGACCACCGCCACAACUGCAGUUAGAGUUCCAGUGCCACAAUUGCAGCUACAAAAUCCAUCUCAGCAACAGCCACAAGAGCAAGUUCCAUUGGUACAAGAACAACAAUUUCCAGGGCAGCAACAACCAUUUCCACCACAACAGCCAUAUCCGCAGCCGCAACCAUUUCCAUCACAACAACCAUAUCUGCAGCUGCAACCAUUUCCACAGCCGCAACUACCAUAUCCGCAGCCGCAACCAUUUCGACCACAACAACCAUAUCCACAGCCGCAACCACAGUAUUCGCAACCACAACAACCAAUUUCGCAGCAGCAGCAGCAGCAGCAGCAACAACAACAACAACAACAACAAAUCCUACAACAAAUUUUGCAACAACAACUGAUUCCAUGCAGGGAUGUUGUAUUGCAACAACACAACAUAGCGCAUGGAAGCUCACAAGUUUUGCAAGAAAGUACUUACCAGCUGGUGCAACAAUUGUGUUGUCAGCAGCUGUGGCAGAUCCCCGAGCAGUCGCGGUGCCAAGCCAUCCACAAUGUUGUUCAUGCUAUUAUUCUGCAUCAACAACACCACCACCACCAACAACAACAACAACAACAACAACAACAACCGUUGAGCCAAGUCUCCUUCCAACAGCCUCAGCAACAAUAUCCAUCAGGCCAGGGCUUCUUCCAACCAUCUCAGCAAAACCCACAGGCCCAGGGCUCUUUCCAGCCUCAACAACUGCCCCAGUUUGAGGCAAUAAGGAACCUAGCGCUACAGACGCUACCUGCAAUGUGCAAUGUGUAUAUCCCUCCAUAUUGCACCAUUGCUCCAUUUGGCAUCUUCGGUACUAACUGAGAAGAGAAGAACUCUAGUAGUAGAUAUAUGAUACACCGUUUUCUUAGUCCAUGGUUUGGUCGUUGUAGCGGUGAAAAAAUAAAGUGACAUGCACUAUCAUGUAAGAACCUGAACUAUACUAGUUCAAACUUGGGAAUAAAAGACAAACACAGGUCUUGUCUACAUAUGAUUGUUUGUUUGAGUUCCACUCAUGUGCCCAUUCACAAGUUCACCCCUAAUUAUAUAUAUUAUGCAUUAAGUAGAUAUUUAUGUUGCAUUAAUCUAAAGAUAACAAAAUGAGUCUGAAAUUUGAAUUAAAUUGAAGUAUUUCCUUGGACUUUCAAAUGGAGUAUUAUUAAAGUAGUAAGGACUAUCCACAUCCUUGGCUUGCCCUUGAUCAAUUAUUUGCUGAGAAGCAUUCAAUUCGUCAAUCAAUUACAUUGAUUUUUGUGGCUGGUACUUCUCCUCAACAUGAGUAUAUUCAUCGUGGCUACUCCAAAUCGGCAUGAAUGAGGUACCGGUGCUCUGGAGCACUAGUACCUAACAGCUUCUCAUGUGAAGGGGUGCGGGCACGGGAGAGGUGUUUUUGGUGGGUCAAGGGAGUAAGAAGCGGCCGUGGCAGCGGUCCAGACGCCCACAAAGCCUCGUAGUUUGUUUUUGGUUUACAGGAAAAUGCACAUCCAGACUGGCCUGCGGGCCGAUAUAGGACCGUAUUGGAUGGCAAAACAUGUCCAGAUGGUUGUGAGCGGUUUGAGGGUUAGCUUUUGUAACGCCCGGUUAGUUAUGCUAUGGUAGUUCCCUGCUAAUGAUGUCACGUCACCACGAUUACUGUUGUUAACCUCACAAUGAUUCAAUCCCAUUCAAAUCCAAAUUUAAAAUAAAGGCAAACAUCAAAAGUUUCAAACAUUAAAACUAAAAUCUUCGAGAGGUGAAAAAUAAUGCAUAAGUAAUUAUGGUGGAGAAACCACACUUUUAUAAAAUGUUUAAAUACUCUAAAAGGAAUAAAACAGUGGCUUAAACUAUUAUUUAAAUGCUUUUAAAAUAGUAAAAAUGUUCUAACUAAAUUAAUUGGGUACCAAACUUUUGGUGGCAGUGGUAUAUUUAGUAGAAAAAAUUUAGAUGCUAAUUAUAUAAUUUACAAAAUUAAAGUAAAUUAAAAAAUAGGAUAAAACAUAAAAGGAAAGACAAAACAAAUAAAAGCAAAAGGGGGCAACCCCUCACUGAGCCUCGGCCUAGCUGGCCACUAGGCUAGCUAGGCCGGCCCAGCCGCCUCCCUUAACCCCCCACUCCCCAUCGAACAAUAGCCCGAUCGCCCCACUUCCCCCACACCCCCUCGUCAGCCUCCCCACCUCUCGAUCCCAUCUGGAUCGGGGAGGGGAUCGCCCCCAUCGACCCCGUCGCCAUCGCCGGAUCACCCGCUCGCCCAUCGCCCGCCGGCGUCGCCGGGCCUCCUCCCCGCCGCCCGUCUCCGGCUCUCCUCCCCUCUCGCUCCUCUUCCCCGACCCGAUAUGGAUCGAGAAGGGGCAAUGAGCCCGACGCCCCCCUCCACCGACGUUGUGCGCCAGCACCGCCACCCGAAGACCUCGUCGUCGCCGGACCUCGCGUCGCCUCCUCGUAUCUCUCCCCGACUCGCCUCCUCAAGCCACGCCGACCCCCUUCUCGGCAACGCUGUGAGCCGCCCCCGUUUCCCUCCUUCUCUUUCCACCGUGUUUGAUAAGUCUCCAACGUAUCUAUAAUUUUUGAUUGUUCCAUGCUAUAUUAUAUUCUGUUUUGGAUGAUUAAUGGGAUUUAUUAUACACUUUUAUAUUAUUUUUGGGACUAACCUAUUAACCGGAGGCCCAGCCCAAAUUGCUGUUUUUUUGCCUAUUUCAGUGUUUCGCAGAAAAAGAAUAUCAAACGGAGUCCAAACGGAAUGAAACCUUCGGGAAUGUGAUUUUCGGAACAAACGUGAUCCAGAGGACUUGGAGUGGACGUCAAGCAACAGACGAGGAAGCCACGAGGUAGGGGCGCGCCUACCCUCCUGGGCGCGCCCUCCACCCUCAUGGGCCCCUCGUGGCUCCACUGACCUACUUCUUCCUCCUAUAUAUACCUACGUACCCCCAAACCAUCAGAAGCGACCACAAAAACCUAAUUCCACCGCCGCAACCUUCUGUACCCGUGAGAUCCCAUCUUAGGGCCUUUUCCGGCGUCCUGCCGGAGGGGGCAUUGAUCACGGAGGGCUUCUACAUCAACACCAUAGCCUCUCCGAUGAUGUGUGAGUAGUUUACCUCAGACCUUCGGGUCCAUAGUUAUUAGCUAGAUGGCUUCUUCUCUCUCUUUGGAUCUCAAUACAAAGUUCUCCUCGUUUCUCUUGGAGAUCUAUUUGAUGUAACUCUUCUUUUUGCGGUGUGUUUGUCGAGAUCCGAUGAAUUGUGGGUUUAUGAUCAAGAUUAUCUAUGAACAAUAUUUGAAUCUCCUCUGAAUUCUUUUAUGUAUGAUUGGUUAUCUUUGCAAGUCUCUUCGAAUUAUCAGUUUGGUUUGGCCUACUAGAUUGAUCUUUCUUGCAAUGGGAGAAGUGCUUAGCUUUGGGUUCAAUCCUGCGGUGUCCUUUCCCAGUGACAGCAGGGGCAGCAAGGCACGUAUUGUAUUGUUGCCAUCGAGGAUAAAAAGAUGGGGUUUAUAUCAUGUUGCAUGAGUUUAUCCCUCUACAUCAUGUCAUCUUGCUUAAAGCGUUACUCUGUUUUUAUGAACUUAAUACUCUAGAUGCAUGCUGGAUAGCGGUCGAUGUGUGGAGUAAUAGUAGUAGAUGCAGAAUCGUUUUGGUCUACUUGUCACGGACGUGAUGCCUAUAUACAUGAUCAUACCUAGAUAUUCUCAUAACUAUGCUCAAUUCUAUCAAUUGCUCGACAGUAAUUCGUUUACCCACCAUAAUACUUAUGCUCUUGAGAGAAGCCACUAGUGAAACCUAUGGCCCCCGGGUCUAUUUUCCAUCAUAUUAAUCUUCCGUCAACAAGCUAUUUCUAUCUUUAUUUACCUUGUAAUCUUUACUUUUACUCUUUAUCAUAAAAAUACCAAAAAUAUUAUCUUAUCAUCUCUAUCAGAUCUCACUCUCGUAAGUGACCGUGAAGGGAUUGACAACCCCUUUAUCGCGUUGGUUGCGAGGUUCUUAUUUGUUUGUGUAGGUGCGUGGGACUUGAGUGUGGCCUCCUACUGGAUUGAUACCUUGGUUCUCAAAAACUGAGGAAAAUACUUACGCUACUUUACUGCAUCACCCUUUCCUCUUCAAGGGAAAACCAACGCAGUGCUCAAGAGGUAGCAAGAAGGAUUUCUAGCACCGUUGCCGGGGAGUCUACGCACAAGUCAAGACAUACCAAGUACCCGUCACAAACUCUUAUCCCUCGCAUUACAUUAUUUGCCAUUUGCCUCUCGUUUUCCUCUCCCCCACUUCACCCUUGCCGUUUUAUUCGCCUCCUUUUCGUUUGCUUCUUGUUUGCUCGUGUGUUGGAUUGCUUGUUUGUCGCGAUGGCUCUACCUAGAUUUGGUGAUCUUCCAUUAAAAGGUUAGAAGAGAUUGAAAGCAACGUCAGAAGUUUCAUGACUUUACAAUUUGAGCAUAACAAUUUCUUUAGAAACGAGCUUAAGGAACAAAAAAGCUUUAUGGGUUACAUGAAUAAAGAGCUCGACGAUAUGUCUAAGGAAUUUUAUGGUCUAAAAUCUUAGAUUUCUCAUCUCGAAAAAUUAAUUGCUGAAAUUUCGGAUAAGCAGGCCACCUUAGUUAAUAAGAUGGCCGCUAAACCGGUAAUUUUUUAUGAGAAUAAAGAUGAAGAUCUAAAAGUUAUUGAUGUGUCCCCUAUUAAAUCUUAGUUUUGCAAUAUGAAUCUUGAUAAUGAUGGGACUGGAGAUGAGUCAACUUUAGUUAAAAGGCGUCCCAAAAAUUCGGAGUUUUUAGAUCUUGAUGCAAAAUUUGGUAAAAGUGGGAUUGAAGAGGUCAAAACUUUAGAUAUCAAUGAACCCACUAUCUUGGAUUUCAAGGAAUUUAAUUAUGAUAAUUGCUCUUUGAUAUAUUUUAUUUCCUUGUUGCAAUCCGUGUUAAAUUCUCCUCAUGCUUAUAGUCAAAAUAAAGCUUUUACUAAACAUAUCGUUGUUGCUUUGAUGCAAUCUUAUGAAGAAAAACUUGAGUUGGAAGUUUCUAUCCCUAGAAAACUUUAUGAUGAAUGGGAACCUACAAUUAAAAUUAAAAUUAAAGAUCAUGAAUGCUAUGCUUUGUGUGAUUUGGGUGCUAGUGUUUCCACGAUCCCAAAAACUUUGUGUGAUUUGCUAGGUUUCCGUGAAUUUGAUGAUUGUUCUCUAAAUUUGCAUCUUGCGGAUUCCACCAUCAAGAAACCUAUGGGAAGAAUUAAUGAUGUUAUUAUUGUUUCAAAUAGGAACUAUGUGCCCGUAGAUUUUAUUGUUCUUGAUAUAGAUUACAAUCCUUCAUGUCCUAUUAUUUUUGGUAGACCUUUCCUUAGAACGAUUGGUGCAAUUAUUGAUAUGAAAGAAGGAAAUAUUAGAUUCCAAUUUCCGUUAAGGAAAGGUAUGGAACACUUUCCUAGAAAGAAAAUAAAAUUACCUUAUGAAUCUAUUAUGAGAGCUACUUAUGGAUUGCCUACCAAAGAUGGCAAUACCUAGAUCUAUCCUCGCUUUUAUGCCUAGCUAGGGGCGUUAAAUGGUAGCGCUUGUUGGGAGGCAACCCAAAUUUUAUUUUAGUUUUUUUGCUUUUUUGCUUCUGUUUAGGAAUAAAUCUUUGAUCUAGACUCUGGUUAGACUUGUUUUUAUGUUUUAAUUAGUGUUUGUGCCAAGUUAAACCUAUAGGAUCUUCUUGGAUGAUAGUUAUUUGAUCUUGCUGAAAAUUCCAGAAACUUUCUGUUCACGAAAACAAUUGUUAAAAAUCACCAGAACGUGAUAAAAUACUGAUUCUAAUUGCAGUAGAUCAAUAAACAAAUUAUCUAGGUCUUCCUAUUUUGGUAGAUUUUUCUGAGUUACAUAAGUUUGUGUUAGUUACAGAUUACUACAGACUGUUCUGUUUUUGACAGAUUCUGUUCUUCGUGUGUUGUUUGCUUAUUUUGAUGAAUCUAUGGCUAGUAAAAUAGUUUAUAAACCAUAGAUAAGUUGGAAUACAUUAGGUUUAACACCAAUAUAAAUAAAGAAUGAGUUCAAUACAGUACCUUGAAGUGGUGUUUUGUUUUCUUUCGCUAACGGAGCUCACGAGAUUUUCUGUUAAGUUUUGUGUUGUGAAGUUUUCAAGUUUUGGGUAAAGAUUUGAUGGAUUAUGGAACAAGGAGUGGCAAGAGCCUAAGCUUGGGGACGCCCAAGGCACCCCAAGGUAAAUCUAAGGACACCAAAAAUCCAAAGCUUGGGGAUGCCCCGGAAGGUAUCCACUCUUUCGUCUUCGUCCAUCGGUAACUUUACUUGGAGCUAUAUUUUUAUUCACCACAUGAUAAGUGUUUUGCUUGGAGCGUCUUGUAUGAUUUGAGUAUUUGCUUUUUAGUUUACCACAUUCAUACUUGCUGUACACACCUUUUGAGAGAGACACACAUGAUUCAGAAUUUAUUAGAAUACUCUAUGUGCUUCACUUAUAUCUUUUGAGCUAUAUAGUUUUUGCUCUAGUGCUUCACUUAUAUCUUUUAGAGCACGGUGGUGGUUUUGUUUUAUAGAAACUAUUUUUCUCUCAUGCUUCACUUAUAUCAUUUUGAGAGUCCUACAUAACAGCAUGGUAAUUUGCUUAAAUUGAGAAAUUAGUCCUAAUAUGAUAGGCAUCCAAGAUUAGUAAAAACUUUCUUAUAAGUGCGUUGAAUACUAAGAAAAGUUUGAUGCUUGAUGAUUGUUUUGAGAUAUGGAGGUAGUGAUAUUAAAGUUGUGCUAGUUGAGUAGUUUUGAAUUUGAGAAAUACUUGCGUUGAAGUUUGCAAGUCCCGUAGCAUGCACGUAUGGUAAACGUUGUGUAACAAAUUUGAAACAUGAGGUGUUCUUUGAUUGUCCUCCUUAUGAGUGGCGGUCGGGGACGAGUGAUGGUCUUUUCCUACCAAUCUAUCCCCCUAGGAGCAUGCGCGUAGUGCUUGGUUUUUGAUGACUUGUAGAUUUUUGCAAUAAGUAUGUGAGUUCUUUAUGACUAAUGUUGAGUCCAUGGAUUAUACGCACUCUCACCCUUCCAUCAUUGCUAGCAUCUUCGGUACCGUGCAUUGCCCUUUCUCACCUUGAGAGUUGGUGCAAAUUUCGCCGGUGCAUCCAGACCCCGUGAUACGAUACGCUCUGUCACACAUAAACCUCCUUAUAUCUUCCUCAAAACAGCCACCAUACCUACCUGUUAUGGCAUUUCCAUAGCCAUUCCGAGAUAUAUUGUCAUGCAACUUUCCACCGUUCCGUUUAUCAUGACACGUUUCAACAUUGUCAUAUUGCCUUGCAUGAUCAUGUAGUUGACAUCGUAUUUGUGGCAAAGCCACCGUUCAUAAUUUUUCAUACAUGUCACUCUUGAUUCAUUGCCCAUCCCGGUACACCGCCGGAGGCAUUCAUAUAGAGUCAUACUUUGUUCUAGUAUCGAGUUGUAAUCAUUGAGUUAUAAAUAAAUAGAAGUGUGAUGAUCAUCAUUCAUAGAGCAUUGUCCCAAAAAAAGGAGAAAGGCCAAAUGAAAAAAAGGCCCAAAAAAAGGGGCAAUGUUACUAUCCUUUUUCCAUACUUGUGCUUCAAAGUAGCACCAUGGUCUUUAUGAUAGAGAGUCUCUUGUUUUGUCACUUUCAUAUACUAGUGGGAAUUUUUCAUUAUAGAACUUGGCUUGUAUAUUCCCACAAUGGGCUUCCUCAAAUGCCCUAGGUCUUCGUGAGCAAGCAAGUUGGAUGCACACCCACUUAGUUUCUUUUGUUGAGCUUUCAUGCAUUUAUAGCUCUAGUGCAUCCGUUGCAUGGCAAUCCCUACUCCUUGCAUUGACAUCAAUCGAUGGGCAUCUCCCUAGCUCGUUGAUUAGCCGCGUCAAUGUGAGACUUUCUUUUCUUUUUUUCUUCUCCACAUAACCCCCAUCAUCAUAUUAUAUUCCACCCAUAGUGUUAUAUCCAUGGCUCACGCUCAUAUAUUGCGUGAAAGUUGAAUUUUUUUUGAGAUUACUAAAGUAUGAAACAAUUGCUUGGCUUGUAAUCGGGGUUGUGCAUGAUGAGAGCAUUCUUGUGUGACGAAAAUGGGGCAUGACCAAACUAUAUGAUUUUGUAGGGAUGAACUUUCUUUGGCCAUGUUAUUUUGAGAAGACAUAAUUGCUUAGUUAGUAUGCUUGAAGUAUUAUUACUUUUAUGUCAAUAUUAAACUUUUAUCUUGAAUCUUUCGGAUCUGAAUAUUCAUACCACAAAUAAGAGAAUUACAUUGAAAAUUAUGCUAAGUAGCAUUCCACAUCAAAAAUUCUGUUUUUAUCAUUUACCUACUCGAGGACGAGCAGGAAUUAAGCUUGGGGAUGCUUGAUACGUCUCCAACGUAUCUAUAAUUUUUGAUUGUUCCAUGCUAUAUUAUAUUCUGUUUUGGAUGAUUAAUGGGCUUUAUUAUACACUUUUAUUAUUUUUGGGACUAACCUAUUAACCGGAGGCCCAGCCCAAAUUGUUGUAUUUUUUGCCUAUUUUAGUGUUUCGCAGAAAAAGAAAAUCAAACGGAGUCCAAACGGAAUGAAACCUUCGGGAACGUGAUUUUCGGAACAAAUGUGAUCCAGAGGACUUGGAGUGGACGUCAAGGAACAGACGAGGAAGCCAUGAGGUAGGGGGGCGCGCCUACCCCCUGGGCGCGCCCUCCACCCUCGUGGCUCCACCGACCUACUUCUUCCUCCUAUAUAUACCUACGUACCCCCAAACCAUCAGAAGCGACCAUGAAAACCUAAUUCCACCACCGCAACCUUCUAUACCCCUGAGAUCCCAUCUUGGGGCCUUUUCCGGCGUCCUGCCGGAGGGGGCAUUGAUCACGGAGGGCUUCUACAUCAACACCAUAGCCUCUCCGAUGAUGUGUGAGUAGUUUACCUCAGACCUUCGGGUCCAUAGUUAUUAGCUAGAUGGCUUCUUCUCUCUCUUUGGGUCUCAAUACAAAGUUCUCCUCGUUUCUCUUGGAGAUCUAUUUGAUGUAACUCUUCUUUUUGCGGUGUGUUUGUCGAGAUCCGAUGAAUUGUGGGUUUAUGAUCAAGAUUAUCUAUGAACAAUAUGUGAAUCUCCUAUGAAUUCUUUUAUGUAUGAUUGGUUAUCUUUGCAAGUCUCUUCGAAUUAUCAGUUUGGUUUGGCCUACUAGAUUGAUAUUUCUUGCAAUGGGAAAAGUGCUUAGCUUUGGGUUCAAUCUUGCGGUGUCCUUUCCCAGUGACAGCAGGGGCAGCACGGCACAUAUUGUAUUGUUGCCAUCGAGGGUAAAAAGAUGGGGUUUAUAUCAUAUUGCAUUAGUUUAUCCCUCUACAUCAUGUCAUCUUGCUUAAAGCGUUACUCUGUUCUUACGAACUUAAUGCUCUAGAUGCAUGCUGGAUAGCGGUCGAUGUGUGGAGUAAUAGUAGUAGAUGCAGAAUCGUUUCGGUCUACUUGUCACGGACGUGAUGCCUAUAUACAUGAUCAUACCUAGAUAUUCUCAUAACUAUACUCAAUUCUAUCAAUUGCUCGACAGUAAUUCGUUUACCCACCGUAAUACUUAUGCUCUUGAGAGAAGCCACUAUUGAAACCUAUGGCCCCCGGGUCUAUUUUCCAUCAUAUUAAUCUUCCGUCAACAAGCUAUUUCUAUCUUUAUUUACCUUGCAAUCUUUACUUUUACUCUUUAUCAUAAAAAUACCAAAAAAAAUUAUCUUAUCAUCUCUAUCAGAUCUCACUCUCGUAAGUGACCGUGAAGGGAUUGACAACCCCUUUAUCGCGUUGGUUGCGAGGUUCUUAUAUAUUUGUGUAGGUGCGUGGGACUUGAGUGUGGCCUCCUACUGGAUUGAUACCUUGGUUCUCAAAAACUGAGGGAAAUAAUUACACUACUUUACUGCAUCACCCUUUCCUCUUUAAGGGAAAACCAACGCAGUGCUCAAGAGGUAGCAGUGUUCACCGCGCCGCCCGCCGUGCCCCUCGCCGCGCGCACGCCCACCACCGCGCCAGCCCCCGCUCAGCGCCCUCUCCUGCACGCUUGUGCGCGCAUGACCCUAGCCACGCCCGCGCCGUGAUCCCCUUGUUCGGCCCGCCUUCGUCCCGCGCUCGCCGCGGCCCCCAUGCUCCCCCGUGCCAUCUUCUAGGGGCGUCGGCUGCCCCUGUCCCGCUGCUCGCUGCCACGCCUCGCCCGCCCGCGCCUCGCCACCGCUCUACUGCUACGCUAAUAUUGCGCUGUGGCCGCCGCCGCUUCCCGCUGCUCUGCCAGCGCCGAAGCUCCCGGUUGGCUCCGCCGCUGCUCACGUUUUACCGCCCCUAAACGGCCUACCCCCCCCCUCGCUAAUGAACCCCCACUGACCCGCUGACACCGGGACCCACAUCCCCUAAUUAACCAUUUAAUAAAUUAAAAAUCUUAAAUUAACAUUAGUGUAUGACAUGUGGGUCCCCUAUUAAUUAAACUGAUUUAAUUAAAAUCUAUUAACAUUGAGUCUGUGACAUAUGGGCCCCACUAAACAUUUGACCAGUCAACGGUCUAGUCAAAUGCUGACCGGACAGUUGACCAGAGGGCCCCACCAGUCAGCCUCUGUGCUGUUCUGCUGGGUACCUUUCUAAGUACACCUAGCAUUUUGCAUUUACAAUAUUUGUUUUAAAAUAAAUUAGAAUAAUUUCAAAAAAAGAUUAAAACUUUUAAAAUUAAAAUAAAAUAAUCCGUAACUCGGAUGAAAUUACUUUAUACAUGCAAGUUGCUCAAAAAACGAGACGAAUCCGAAUACACAGUCCGUUCGUCUGCCACACGUCCCUAGCAUAGCAAACAUGCAACCAUCCCCCUCCGGUUCGACUGUCCGAAAAUGUCAGACACGGGAAAUACUUUUCCGGAUUUUCCCCUUCACCAUUAGCACCUAGUACCGCGUGAGGGCAUACCUAGCACCACUUAUUGUAAUGUCAUGCAUCGUCAUGCAUCUGUUUGCAUUGUAUUCAUUGUUUCUUCCUCCUCUUCUCUCCGGUAGACUACGAGACCGACGUCGGUGCUGCCCCGGUCGACUACGGUGUCCAUGACCCCUCCUUGUAAGCAGAGCUUCCAGGCAAGCAAACCCCCUUGAUCAUCCCGAUAUCGCCUACUCUUUCCCUCUACUGCUUGCAUUAGAGUAUUGUUACUGUUUGUCGGUUUGAUCCUAUACUGCUGCAUGGCUUGUCUUUGAUACUACUUAUGUGUUAUUUGUGUAGAUUUGUCAAGGAAAAAUGAGUCUAUAGCCUAAUAAAUGAAGUGUUGCAUGUUACCACACAUAUGUUAAUCCCCACUAUAGAGUUAGUAACAUAGACUAGUAACAUGUGCAUGUUACUACCCAUUGUGGCCAGUCUAUGUUACCACUUUCCUCUCUUUCUUCAUUUAUUGCUUGCCACAUCAUCUAUUUUAUCUAGGUAUGUGUGAUAUUACUACCUAUGUUACUCCCACUGUGGGUAGUCUAAGCAGGCUAUAAGGAAUAGAAUAAUAUAUAUGUGCUUAUUAGUUGGAGGAAAGAGAAGAGAAGCGGGCUCUUGGUUAGUAGAGCCAGCUACAACAUGAGACCCAAGCACUUUGUGAGGAUGUAAGGUGGCCAACUAUUGAUAAACUAGUACGUAUAUAAAAAUUAUUAUUGCACAUGGCCGCUAAGAGGUUGGCUGUAUAUGACAUGACAACUUCUUAUAGCCGACCCUUGGCUGUAUUAUUAACCAUGCUCUUAGUGAGGUAGCUAGUAUAUCAUAGACGACUAGCUAGUAUCAGACUAGCCAAAGUGGGAGUAACUUCAGCAGUAACAUCGACUCCAACUCAGAAAACUUGCUUAUGUGGGAGUAAACCGUGCCCAAUGCAAAAUACAAUCCCAGUCAUAAUUUUUUCAGGAAACGUGUGGUAUCCCAAACGAAAAGUACAUGUCACUCUUGCGGCAACGAUACCCAAUAAAUCACAAACGGUCUGCAGCACUUGUAUGUGUGCGAAGAGGCUCCUGAACCGUUUGUGAUAGAACAUUAUCGUAGACGAUAAUUGUUGGCAAACGUGUGCGAUGGAGUCUAGCAUGGCAGACAGGUUACGCAGAAAACUCGUGUGCGAUGGGGCACAAAUCGCACACAGUUCAUAUGUUGGCCCGUGUGCCUUACAUACUAUUUCCCAAACGGUUUGUUACGACAGACCGUAUGGUUUCAGUGCGUCAUUAGAAACGCUUAAUCACCGAUACCACACGUGCGAAAGAAUUUAGUGUGUGCUUCAUCGCACACGAUUACAUUUUGGAAGGCCUCUGGAUCACUGCUCCAUAUCCCCGACGGUUUCUGGGUCGUGUGGGAAGUACACCCUAUCGCACACACUCACUUGGCGACGGUUCCAAAUGCCAUCGCGGAAAGGGGUUGAAAACAGUUUGUUUAGAACCGACGCGUACCAUUGUCUAUCUAUCUAUCUACCUAUCUAUCUAUCUAUCUAUCCAUCCAUCUAUCUAUCUAUCCAUCUAUCUAUCCACCUAUCCAUCUAUCCAUCUAUCUAUCUCUAUCCAUCUAUCUAUCUAUCCAUCUAUCCAUCUAUCUAUCCAUCUAUUUAUCUAUCUAUCUAUCUAUCUAUCUAUCUAUGUAUCCAUCGAUCCAUCUAUCCAUCCAUCGAUCCAUCUAUCCAUCCAUCUAUCUAUCCAUGCAUCCAUGUAUCCAUCUAUCGAUCUAUCCAUCUAUCCAUAUAUCGAUCUAUCCAUCUAUCUAUCCAUCUAUCCAUCUAUCCAUCUAUCGAUCUUUCCAUCUAUCGAUCUAUCCAUCUCUUCAUCUACCCAUCUAUCCAUCUAUCCAUCUACCGAUCUAUCUAUCCAUCUAUCUACCUACCUAUCUAUCUAGCUAUCUAGCUAUCUAUCUAUCUAUCCAUCCAUCUGUCCAUCCAUCCAUCUAUCUACCUACCUACCUACCUACCUACCUACCUAUCUAUCUAUAUAUCUAUCUAUCUAUCUAUCUAUCUAUCUAUCUAAAGGAAAUAUGCCCUAGAUGCAAUAAUAAAGUUGUUAUUUAUAUUACUUAAACUAGCAGAGUCACCCGCGCAUUUGCGCGGCUAGAUUGACUACAUAUAUUGUUAUAUUUGGGAUUAUUUUUCUAUGCCAACUUUAUGGCCUCUUACUCAGAUAUUAUCUAAUUUAAUUUACCACCACCAUAUGUUAUAUCCAUAGAUUAUAAUUAAAAGGCAACUUGCGACGAAACAUGGUCAGAUUAUUGAGUGCUCAGAAGACGGGCGCAAUAUCAUAUAUAGACUUCUAUACCAAUCUUCAUGGUUCCCAUCUUUGAUCCUCUCCUCGUCCCUUGGUAUCUAUCUUUGCACCCAAUAUGUCUUUGGAGUUCCAAGAAUUGGAUCUUAGCAUGAAUGGCUUCAAAGUGUACCAAAUGUUCUCUUGUUCCUCCCAAAUUAAUUACUGGUUGCAUUCUUAGUUGCUUUGACAUUCUUGGUUAAUGCAAUGUCUUGCCUACCAAUAUAUGCAUCCACACACGAUCAUAUUUAUAUGACCACUUACCUCUGUAUUCUGGUAUUUGUGCUUCAGAAUUUUUCUCUCAUUCAGUUUAUUCAUAGAUUAGAAACGUCGAUCGUUUCUUUAUUGGUUUGCAUUAUCUUGUUUGCCGAAUGUAAGCAUCCACACAUGCUCGUCAUGAUAUGAUUGGUCAUCAUUGUAUAUUUGUAUUUGUGUGUUGAUAGCUUAAGGAUUUUCUCGGAUUCACUUCAUAGUUUAAGGAUUUUCUCGCGUUCAAUUUAUUCUACCUUAUUCAUUUUCAUGUUUCUUUAUUGUAUUCAUAUCCAUUCUUACAAUAUAUUUUCCAAGAUAUGAACUCAACUACUAAUUACGUAGUUUUCAAUGAAAUUUUACAUGUAAAAGUGGUACAAAUGCAUAAACCCAAUUUUUUUUUAAACACGUUGACUUACAAAAAGGACAAUUCAAGCUGCAUGUACGUCCGACUCAUGUUUACCUGACAAUGUCGAUGUUGAUUUCAGCAGUAAAUGAGCUGUGUGUGACCUUUGCGCUUUCCGGUAUUCUUCUAACCUGUGUGCUUUAUGAUCAGUUUGUUGUGCUUAGUACUGGACACUGGAGUAUACUAUCAUAUUUGAUACAAACAAAUCCGAACUGCUAUAGUUAUGAUCCACUGUAUAGUUAAUGGUGGUGGUAAUUAAUAUAUGUGGUUAAAUACUUGCGCUCCUUAGGUGGGGAGUUGGAUUUGUAUUUGUCUAAAAUGAAUUUCAGAUUUCGUAUCAGUGGUGAAGCCAGCCGGAAGAACCUCUGCGUCAUUAUUAAUUUUGGUGAUAUUUUUCAUCAUAGUGUAGAAUAAUUUUAGUGCUUAUUCCGCAAAAAAAUGGCCUCAACUGACCCCAUAGCUUGUAUGUUGCGCCACCACUGUUUCGUAUAUCUUAUUACAUCCGUUGUUUUUAGAUCUUGAUGCAUAACUUUGACAAUUUUUAAUAGAUAUGUGUCUGUAUAAAAAAAUUAUAAAUGCUAUGAUAAUUUGAUUAAUUAUGAUGAAUAAAAUGGUAUUGCUUUGACUUGAUCCCUCUAACAAUUUAUAGGAAUGCUCUUAAAUAUUUCUGCUUCAUUUGAUCUCAUUAUAGCCUGCCUAAAUUACAUGGCUUAAUCGCCUUUUUUCUUUUAUCUUAGUUCAUUUCCGUAAAUUCAUUUGUACUAUAUAUGCUCCCGUAAAUUCAUUUUUUUAAUUGCUCACAUUUUUUUGAGGCAUUUUGAGUUUCUCACGUACGCUCAAACGCCCAAGAAAACACAUAUAGUGUUCGCUACGCCCAAGAAAACACAUUGAGGCAGUAAUUUCUUCAGGCAAGAUCGAUCGGCAGCUAAUUAAGUAGGCUGGAUGGCAUUGAGAAAUCCAAAAACGAUUUACAUACACAUGGUAGAUCGUCUCUCUCUCUCCUUCCACCCCUUCCUUUCAUGGCCAUCGUAGACUGCACCAUGUGGCAUUCAAACUUUUAUCAAGGGGAGAGUUUCCUCACACACACACACACACAUGCACAUACGCAAGCACACGCACACACGUGUAGUACAAACUUAGAAUUUUUGGAAAUAAUGGGAGGCCGAGCAACGGCCAUGUGAAAAUAUGAGGUAUAUAGCUUGUGGAUUUCCUUUCAGUGUACAAGGCCUGCAUGAGGAAUGGAUAAAAAAUUAUAUCUUUGAUUCCCUUAGUUAAAUCUUAUCCUUCAUCGUCAAUUAUGACUAAGCAUACAUAGUAACCGCUAGUUUCUCUUAUAUGCUUCCGAGAAGAUAAGACUGGAUAUUUUAGUUGCUAUUAAUUGUUUCCCUUCUUUCGCUAAAUAGUAGUCAAACAUGUUAUUAAUGUAUUUUGUAAGGAUAAGGUCGAGCAUCAUGGCCACUAUGUUCUAUAUAUACUGAAUUUGGUGUUCAGUAUGACAUAACAAACACAUAUUGUGAGAAGGAGUAGUGUACAUUGUUCUCUAGUGCACUUUGUUCAGCAAGUUGGGUGAAAAUGUUGAAUAGAACCAUCAAGUUUUCAUACUUUUUUUCAUGGCACAGGUUUGCCUUCUCAUGAUGAUGGCCGCACCGUUUGCACAAGCUGCUGGGAGGCCUGUGGCCUCCUUACCAUGGGUAGCGGGGUGUUGCCCGAGGAACUAUUUGUGUUGUGGUGUUGGUGCCGUUGCCCCGACAUCCCAUGCAUCACAGGCCACCUCUGUACCUUGAGUUAUGGUUUCGCCUGAUCUCCUCUCAUAACAUAGUUGAUAUAACAUAGUAGCAUCACAAAGGUUGCAUGGUUUCAUUGAUUCAUCUCUUUUCUACUCCUUGAAACUUGUGAUGCCACUUUUGAACAAUGUCAUUGCUAUGUCUUCUUAUAACUAAUAAAAUGGGAGGAUAUUUUCAUCUUAUUUGAAUUGUGUUGUAACAUUACCUACUAAUGUGGAUGAUCUGAGUGGGACUACAUAGAUCGGAUCUUCUAAAGAUGUAAUCUAGGACUUUGCGAGAUGAUGAAAUUGUCCUUUAUCUUGGUCGACACCUUUUCGUAGAAGUGUUGGUCGGCCGUCUGUGUCUUUUUGCGGUGCAUGCCGUAGAAUCCUCCAUGUUUUGUAGUUGUACAAUAACCUUUGAGGCAACCGGGGGUGGUACGUCUGAGGAAGUCGGUGGCCCAGGAAUAUUCAUAAUAAGAUCUUGACCAUGGAUGCCAAGUAAUUUGCCCCGUGCUGAUGUCGUCGGGCUGACCCGCUCACUUAUGUUUUGACUCAAGGAGUCGCUAUGUUCACCGAGUCGCGAGACAGCGGGAGGAAGGAGACGAAGGUCCCAAACGUCAGACCAAAAAGGUGGACUAGGGCUCGCCCUAGUUGUGCUCUCGGGUAUUUUCAGUUACUAGUAGGAGUAAGAAGCAUUGCAAAUUGCUCCCUCUGUUCAAUCCGUAUAUAUGUAGUCCAUAUUCAUAUAUUCAAAAUAUUUUAUAUUUGUGAACGAAGGAAGUAAUUAAUUGUAAUGCAACAAUUUCAGGGGAGGCCAGUCAACAGCUAACUAAAUGUGCUGGAUGAGACUGGAGAAAUGUAUAAACGAUUUACACAUGAUAGAACUACUCUUUUCUUGUUAAGAAAUGGAAGAAUGGAUGAUUUUAUCCGUUCGGAACAAAACCCAAUAUUCAUCCAGUUAGACGUUGUUCUGAAUUGUGACGCUUUUGAAAGUUUUCUCGCAGAAAUAUGUGUGUAUUCCAGUUGUAUCAUUAGCAAACCAAGGUUGUAUAUAUUAUAGCACAAAGAAUGUUUGGUUGAUUCGUUCAGGCGAAUCGGGUUUGUUGCUGACUGCCAAAGUCAGGCCAACUCCAGCGCACGACCCCAAACGGACAUCUGUUUUGCCUGGAUUCUGCCCGUUUGGAUAGGGCAAUGGGGUCGUGUCCGGGCCUGUCCUGUGAUGCGGUGGCCGUGCGCACAACGUGCGGACGCAUCCUUUGGCCUCAUCAUGUCCGCCACGGCCAAAAAUGCCCAUAUAUUCAUAUUUCAAUGUUCAAAACUAGUUUGCACGUUCAAAUAUUAAUUGUCUGAAAAUAAAAAUAGUUAUUACAACCCAAUCAAAAUUGUCUCUAAUAAAAUAGUUUUACAACCAAAUCGAAAUUGUCUUGAAUGAACAUAAUGAACCAAUACAUCUAUUGGUUGCCAAUGUGAUUCCACAUGUGCUCAACCAAGUCAUUUUGAAGAUCCAAAUGAGUGUGCCAAUCAUGCAUUUCACGAUGAAAUUGGGCAAACUUCUCAAACGUGGCCGGUUCUUGGUGCAGGGGCUGAACAUUUUCACCUUGAAAAUCAAAUCCUUGGUCGAAGAUGCUGUUAUCAUGCUCGUCCUCGAUGAUUAUGUUGUGCAUGAUCACACAAGCAGUCAUCACCUCCCGAAGCUUCCCUUCAUCCCAUGUCAAUGCAGGGUUUCAAACGAUACCCCAUCGGGAUUGAAGCAAACCAAAAGCACGUUCCACAUCCUUCCUAGCACUCUCUUGCAUUUGGGCAAAUCUCUUUCUCUUCUCACCUUGGGGGUUCGAGAUUGUCUUCACAAAAAGUUGACCACUGAGGAUAUAUACCAUCAGCUAGGUAGUAUCCCUUGUUAUACUGGUGGCCGUUGAUCUCAAAGUUGCCAGGUGGGGAGUGGCCUUCUGCAAGCCUUGCGAAGACUGGAGAACGCGGCAGCACGUUGAUAUCAUUGUGAGAACCUGCCAUGUCGAAGAAAGAAUGCCAUAUCCAAAGAUCUUGCGAAGCCACCGCUUCUAAUAUGAUAGUGCAAGCUUUAACAUGCCCCUUGUACUGGCCCUGCCAAGAAAAUGGACAGUUCUUCCACUCCCAGUGCAUACAAUCUAUGCUACCAAUCAUGCCUGGAAAGCCUCUAGCUGCGUUGGUCGCCAACAAGCUUUCUGUAUCAGUGGCAUUUGGCUGCUGAGGGAGUCCUGGAUUAAGGGGUCCUCGGGCGUCUGGGCUAUGUAACAUGGGCUGGACUAAUGGGCCGCGAAGAUACAAGAUGGAAGGCUUUCCCCCCAUGUCCGGAUGGGACUCUCCUUGGCGUGGAAGGCAAGCUUGGCAUGCGGAUAUUAAAGAUUCCCUUCCCUGUAAACCGAGUCUGUACAACCCUAGCCCCCUCCGAUGUCUAUAUAAACCGGAGGGUUUAGUCCGUAGAGGCAAGGAUAAUCAUACAGGCUAGAUAUCUAGGGUUUAGCCAUUACGAUCUCGAGGUAGAUCAACUCUUGUAAUCCCUAUACUCAUCAAAGUCAAUCAAGCAGGAAGUAGGGUAUUACCUCCAUUAAGAGGGCCCGAACCUGGGUAAACAUCGUGUCCCCUGCCUCCUGUUACCCUCUAUCCUUAGACGCACAGUUCGGGCCCCCCUAUCCGAGAUCCGCCGGUUUUGACACCGACAGCUGCCUCAAGUACUCAGGGCCAAACACUGCCACCACAGCCUUGUAGAAUUUGUAAAGUGACAACAGACAUGUCGACUCACUCAUGCGCACGUACUCAUCCACCAGAUCGCCUGGAAUUCCAUAUGCAAGCAUGCCGAUGGCCGCGGUGCACUUCUGGUAAGAGGAGAAUCCAAGCUUGCCAAGGGCAUCCGUCUUGCACUCGAAGUAUGGGUCAUGAGCAACCACUCCCUCUCGGAUACGAUUGAACAGAUGCCUUGCCAUACGAAAACGGCGACGGAAUUUAUUCGGCUUGAAGAGCGAGGUAUUCGCAAAGUAAUUGGCAUAGAGCAAGGCGUGGCCUCUCUCUCUAUUGCGUUUCAGGUUGGGAGCACGGCCAGGGACUGACCCCAUGUACCGAGGAAGCUGCCCAAUGUGAUCGUGAACGACCAGUGCAACCACCACCAGAUCUUCGUCAUCCGAGGACGAAUCAUCCGAUGAAUAAAUGAAGUGGUGGAAGAAAAAUUCAUCUCCACUGUCCAUACCUUUGUGGGCAAAGUGUCCAACACCUUGCGGUCGUGGUGGCAAAUAGGCCGCGAUGAUCAUCUCGAUGCAGCAGGGGUGGUUGGCGGCCGGCUACUGGCCGCUAUGGAGCACCUGGCGAAAGCUGCCGUGGUCCAUAUCCGUCGCCGGUGGUCGUAUCCCCUCUGGCACCGGCUACAACGACGACGGCCAAAUCUCCUCCAAGCGAUGGCCAGAACUCCUACGAAAGCGCGGGCUUGGUGGCGGCCGUGUCGAGACGUGGUUUGGUAUGGAUGGCCGGGGGGAAGCAGUGAGGAGGCGGUCGGAGAAUACUGGGGGCGCCGGUGGCGGGGUGGGGCGGAGGAGAGCGGGUGGAGGCGUUGGAGGCGAAUGGAGUGCUAGUGUCCCCAACAGGCGGGCCGCGGGGAGGACAAGGGCGUGUGUCCAGCCCGUCCGUGUGAUGUCCGUUUCAUCCCAAACUCGGCACAAGUUUGGGCCAGGAAUGGGUAAAAAACGGACGAAAUCCGGACAUUUGUCUAUUUGAGGCCGUGCCUUGGGUCGCGCUAUUCGUGUAUUCUACCCUAAACGGACGCACCAGAACGGAAUGGGGUCGCGUGCUGGAGUUGGCCUCACGACCGUUUCUGCCUUUGGCGCAGACAAGAGAUUCUACACUGUAAAGGAAAAAGCUGAAAGCUCGCUUGUCUCGUGUGUUUCUCUUCUCUUGCACCUUGUCGGAAAACAGCGUGCACCAGGGACGCUCGAUUCCAUGGCAGGCAUCAAUUCAAUCGAUCAUGCUACAGGGAACCGGCACUAUUUUCUUUUUCUUUUUCUUUUUCUUUUAGGUCGUGAACGCAAGUCAUUUGAGACAUUCACAUAGGACUUACAUAAUUGGUAGAUUUAUUAGCAUCAGUGUGGAGCUAAAGUGUUUGAUGUUUUGUAUGAAUGGUUUGGUCUUAACAAUCAAGCCGACCACUCAGGACCUACUUUUGGACUUUUUUUUUGUAUUAUUGUAUACUAGCAAAAGGGCCCGUGCGCGGAGAAAAAAAUUAUAAUCUUGAAUGACCAUGAUCACAUUUUUUUGCAUCACCGAGAUACACUAUCACUUUCAAUUUCGGGAAAUCAUGUACAUUUUUUAAACUUGUGAACAUUUUUCAAAUUCUUGAACACUUUUACAAAUCUGCAAACAUAUUCUAAAAUCAAGAACAUAUUUUGAAUUCAUGAACAUUUUAUAGUAUUUACAAACAUUUUUAGAAAUUACGAAUUCUUUUUAACAACUUUCUUGAAUAGGCAAACAAUUCUAAAAUGGACGAACAUUGUUUUAUAAAUCGGUGGAACAAUUUUUGAAAUUCACGAACAUUUUUUUGAUUUUACAAACAUUUUUUGAAAUGCAUGAUCAUUUUUGUAUAAACUAUUUUGUAUGUCACGAACAGAUUUUCAAAUAUUUGGUUAUUUCCCCAUUCAUGAACAUUUUUUGAAUGGUGAUAUUUUCUUCAAUUUCAUUAACAUUUUUUAUACACCAAUUUUUAAAAAGUCAUGGACGUAUUUUGAUUUCAUGAACAUUUGUUUUCAAAAUUUCGAACAUUUUUCGAGUCAGAUUCUUUAAUAAAAUUGCAAAUAUUUUUUGAAUACAUAAACAUUUUAUGAUUUAUUAAAACUUUAUUUGAAAAUUAUUUUUAAAUUUCAAAUAUUUUGUGUAUUCCGAAUUUAGUUAAAGCAGAAAAAACGGAAAAGGAUAAAAAAGGAAAUGUUAAAAACAGGCCGCCCGGACAUGGGCGGCCCAAACAGGCGGGCCGCGCCUUAUCCCUACGCGCAGAGCCCAGUAUGGGAGGUCGCUACUACAUGGCCCAGUCCAGACGUGGAUUCCCUGUGUGAAACAUUUAUAUCACUUAUACAUGACAUUUGUGGGUAAUUUGUACGACGUGCCAUAAGAAGAAAUAGCCCCUUUAUUAUUACUAGCAAAAGUGUCCGUGUGUUGUAAUGGGAGAAAUAAAAUCAAAAUCUCCAAUGACCAUGACCAUAUUUUGUUGCAUCACCCAGACACCCUAUCACUCUCAAUUUCAUGAAAUCAUGAAUAAUUUUUGAAAUCACGAACAUGUUUUAAAAUUAUUACUCAUAUUUGAAAUUGUGAACAUUUUUCAAAUUCAUGAACACUUAUACAAAUUUUCGAACAUUUUCUAAAAUCCAGAACAUUUUUGGAAUUGAUGAACAUUUUAUACUAUUUGCAAACACUUUUUAAAGAUUCUGAACAUCUUUAUAAACAAUUUUCUUUAAUCGAGGAACAUUUGUAUGGAAAUUGACGGAACAAUUGUCGAAAUUCACAAACAUUUUUUGAUUGAACUAACAUUUUUUGAAAUACAUGAUCAUUUUUUGAAUCAGUAGACAUUUUCUGAAUGACUAAACUAUGUUGUAAGUCACGAAAUAGUUUUUGAAUUUUAGGAUAUUUCUCCAUUCAUGAACACUUUUUGAAUUGGCUAUUUUUUUCAAUUUCAUUAACAAUUUUUGAUACAAAAACUUUUUAAAAAUCAUGAAUUUUAUUUGAUUUCCCAAAAAAUUGUGUUUAAAGUUUUGAACAUUUAUUGUGUAAGCAAUUGUUUUUUACAAAACAGCGACCAUAUUUUGAAUCCACAAACAUUUUAUGAUUUAUGAAAAUUUUAUGUCAAAAUACUCAUUUUUUAAAUUUUCUAAACUUUUUUGAAAUCCUAAACUAUUUAUAGUAAAAAGAACGAAAACAGGAAAGAAAAAUGAAAAUAGAAAACGAAAUCAAAGAAACAGGCCAGCCUGAAAUGGGCCGGCCCAAACAUGCGUGUAGCGUCUUCUCCCAGCGUGCCGAGAACAUUAUAGGAGGUCCCUACUGUAGAGCCGGCCCAGAUGGGGGAAUUCCCUUGUGUGAAUUUUUUGUAUCACUUAUAUGUGGCAUUGAACUCAUGAAGCAUGCGCUAUCCCUUCCAGCUCGCCGCCAUGUCUGGCUCGGACAACCAGAUGGACUUUCUUUCGUCCCUGUAAACGUUUUGAUGAUAUAAUAAAAAGCUUCGGAAUUUGUCUAAAAAAACUUAUAAGUGGCAUUGGUGGGUAAUAUUUUGCAACUUUAGAGGUAAUUCCAUGACGUACCACCAGAAGCACAAUAGCCCCUUUACUAUUAUUAGGUACUCUUUUUUCCUUGUGGAGCUUUGGAAAUGAGAGAAUUUGAAUAUAGUAACUCUCGGAAACUCUUAUUGGACGAGAGAGAUUUAAUAUGAUAUUGGCAUGGGUUCUACCAACUAAACGAAGAAGUAUUUGACUGAAUAAACAGACAAUUUCCUUUAAUCGACGAACAUUUUUAUGAAAAUUGGUGGAAUAACUUUUGAAAUUCAUAAAUAUUUUUUGAGUUAACGAACAUUUUUUGAAAUACAUGACCAUUUUUUUGAAUCUGUGAACGUUGUAUGAAUGAAUAAACUAGUUUGUAAGUCAUGAGCAGUUUUUCAAUUUUUAGGAUAUUUUUCCCUUCAUGAACAUUUUUUCAAUUGGUGAAAUUUUGUUCAAUUUCAUUAACAAUUUUUAGUGCAUAAAACUUUUUAAAAUCAUGAACAUUAUUAUUUACCAAAGAAGCAAAUUGUUUUUUGCAAAAUCAUGGACAUUUUUUGAACCCACAAACAUUUUAUUAUUUAUGAAACAUUUUUUUAAUACACAAUUUUUUUAAUUUUCGAAUUUUUGUGAAAUACUAAAUUAUUUAAAGUAGAAAAAUCAAAAACAGAAAAGAGAAAGGAAUAAUAGAAAAGGAAGUUAAAUAAUAGGCCGACCGAACAUGGGCUGGCCCAAACGGGCGCACUGCAUCUUCUNNNNNNNNNNNNNNNNNNNNNNNNNNNNNNNNNNNNNNNNNNNNNNNNNNNNNNNNNNNNNNNNNNNNNNNNNNNNNNNNNNNNNNNNNNNNNNNNNNNNNNNNNNNNNNNNNNNNNNNNNNNNNNNNNNNNNNNNNNNNNNNNNNNNNNNNNNNNNNNNNNNNNNNNNNNNNNNNNNNNNNNNNNNNNNNNNNNNNNNNNNNNNNNNNNNNNNNNNNNNNNNNNNNNNNNNNNNNNNNNNNNNNNNNNNNNNNNNNNNNNNGUAUUAUUAUUGUUUCAAAUUUAUUCAUAUAUUAUUUUCAAUUGUACAACCAUAAUUUUUCUUAUCUCUCUCGUUCCACUACAUGCUCCUAGUCAAAGAUUUUUUUUAAUAAUGGGUGUUUUUAUUAACUCAAAAUAUAGCAUCAAGCGGAUACAAAACAUAAUGAGCCACACCCGGUCUAUGCAUAACUAAGAUGCACACAGCCAAAAGCAGAAGUCUGACAAAAAUAAGAUAAGAAAAUCGACAUAUCGACAACAGUGAGUCAUGUAGUACCGACACUAUGCCUCUGUCGAAGGAGGUGGUGGAGCGAUCUGGAGAUUAUGCUGCCAUCCAUGUUGAGUAAAUAUCUCCCUGGCCACUUGCUCCAACCGCAUAGACGCCGCCAUGAACAACGGUUGGUACUCCAUUCGGUGUAGCAUACACCAUACUAGAGGCUGGGGCGCCACCUGAGGCGGGCCUAUGCGCACUUAUUUUGUCUGGGCACUUCGGUUGUCAUGUUUGGUCAUCAGUAUCACUUAUGUACAUCAAUAUGGGCGUAUGCUGUAUUGUUUGAGUUCAUUAGGAUCUAUUAGUAUCACAUCAAUCAAAGUACAUAUACUAUGUUAUUUGAGUUCAGAACCAUCAUAGGCAAUGAUACGUCUAAUAAGGAUAUAUAACAUUUAAUUCAAAAGGAAAGACAAAGUAGAAUUAAGUGCUUUAGUUUGGCCGAAGAAAGGAACCUCAUGAUGCCAUGACUAAGGAACCAAAUAUAAAAGAGCACCUUUCAGAGUACUCCAGAGGUAUGACAUCAUCCAUUUCCACAUCAGAAUCAUCGGAAUUCUCCUGAUCUUCAUUUCGAUGUACCCAACACAAAUGCUACAUGGAUUUUAGUCAGCUGCACUCCCCACUACUUCUACACUUCCCCUUUUUCACACCGACGAGCAGAGACUGAUGCAAGUUGAUCGAACACAGAACAACAUAUAAUUUCCUAGAGAUGCGCUGGGCCUGAAAGGCAACAUACCUAGCAUGCGCAUAAAAUGUGAGAGUAACAAUAAAAGAACAUACCAUUUACCGAUAUGAUUAUUAUUGCUUGCCAAAAUGAUACGUUUUGAUUACUAUUGCAUGCCAAUAUUCUUAAUCACUCCAAGCAAAUUUAACCUAAACUAAAUAUCUAAGAGUAAGCUCUGGUUUAUGUAUUUUACAGAAGUUUGGUUCAGCGAAACUUCGGAAGCAAAUGUGUGAAGGUUUUAUCAUUCUAAUUAAAGGCCUUUUGAUUGUGCAAAACUUACACUACCACAUGAGUUACUGACCAACAUGAGAUGCAAAGUAACAACAGCAUGAUAAUUUUUUUUGAAGGCAGUCAUAUUCUAAAGCAUUAAAAGAUGAAUUCCAAUGCUUUGAUUCUGUAAAGAAUUAGAUCGAUCACUCAACAGUUCUAUUGGCGCCACUAAAAUUCUGAGUGCAAUGUUGUGUAUGUAGCUAAAAUUCACCCAUCAAAGACAACCUUAAUAAUAAGCAAUGGUCAAAACAAGCAAUUGUUGAAGUUAAAUGUAAUUAGAUAGGAAGUCACAUUUGAUUCAUGACCAUCGAGCUGAAAAUGAGACCGAUAAAAGCUGAUUCACCAUGAAGAGAAACAACUAAUGUGAACCUCGGGUUGUAAAACAAAUAGGAUGAGUCGUGUGCUGAUUGCAAAAAAUUGUACUUCUAACCAAAUGACCAUGCUUCAUGAAUAGAUGACAAUAUAGUAACACGAAAGUGAAGUACGGUGAAAUUUUGUAAGCUACUAAGGGCAUAGGGCAAAGCUCACACUCCAGCUUGCACUCCUUGAAGAAAUCAACCAAAAGCACCCAGAAAGAUAAAUGGCAUUGUGGCAUCCGAUGAAUGUUGAUAACUGUACCAUCACACUAAUUUAAUCUACAAAAUUCAUGUCAACAUCACUAAUCAUGAUGUAUCAGGUUAGGAUAAAAUCAUUGUUUUUUCCCAAAAUAAAAUAAAACAAGCCCAGUUAGAAAGAAAUCAUAAGCCUAUCAGACAAUCAGGCAAUUCUGUUAGCAUGUCAACAAUCAGACAGAACAAAACCUAUAGUCCUCAUUUUUUUCUUUCUAAAAAAAGUGUAAUGCUAGAAAAGAGAGUUAAAUAAAAUGCUACGUGAAUCAGCAUACAGAAAAUUCAUAGAAGCAAUGAAGAAAAUAUGAACAAAAUUUAUGUCGAAACACCUAUACUUUCCCCACGAGCAAAUAUGUGUAAUGUUAGAAAAGGGAGUUAAAUAAAAUGUUAGGCAAAUCCGCAUCCAGAAAAUUCAUAGAAGCAAUGAAGCAAAGAUGAGCGACAAAUUUAAUCUACACACACACACACACACACACAUUCAGGCAAACAAAUUACUUCGAUUGAAUCCAUUCCUUUGCAUAUAUGGCAUAAAUGCAUCUAAGGAAAAAAAAACUUGAUGGUGUUAGUUUACCUUGCCAAGAUCAUGAAAUCCAUCUAAAUGAAUAAGAAGCUCCAACAGUGUCCGCUGGAUCUCAUGGUCGUCAUUGGUUCCCUCACUAAAUCUUCUCGCAUCAAUUGCAUCGAUUUCAUCCAUGAAGAUAAUGCAUGGCUAGAAAUAACAACUUGAUGAAAAUGAAACAAAAUUUGCAAGCACCGUAAAUAAACUAAAUGGUGAUAUAAGCUAAAAUGAUCUCAGAAGUGCACUUUUACAUAUAUAGAGAUCAGUUUGAUUUCUUCUUCUCAGGAAAAACUGAUACUGAAAUCUAAAGCUUAAAGUUUUUCUAGUGUUGAACCAGAAUACAAUUAGAUGACAUGACAUCUGAGUCAAGGGAACUAUCAAAGUCACAGCUUGAAUCUCAACACCAGUAGAUGCAUAACCAUCUGCCAACAUACGUUUCUAACAGAUAAUAAGGGAAUUAGGUUUAAGACCAAUUGGCUUUGCAAAAAAGAAAGGCGGAGCAAAACUUACUUGGCGAUCGCGUGCAUAGCCGACCAUUUCUCUGAUUAAAAGCGCACUUUCCCCGAUAUAUUUGUCAAUUAUAGCACUUGACACAAUCUGGUUUUUAGACAACACGUCAGUGUAAUGUAAUACUCACAGAAUGAAAAUACCAACCACCAUCAAUCAAGUGAAAACCACAGCUCCAAAAAGUUAGCAUGAAUGUUACUGGAUAUAGCCCUUGAUAGUAAUGGCUUCCCUGUAGAGUAGAACGCACUUGAAAAAGUUAAAGAAACAUACACUGGCUCCCAUAUAUUGAUCUUGUAUUUGACAAGUGGCCGGGCAUCAACAUUGUGCCUGCUGGUGUACCAAUUCAGCUUGUAGCUGCCAGCUAAUCUCCUUCUGAACAGUUAUGCUGUCCUCACUCACGUGCUACGCCUAUUCAAACUUGCUUAAUUUAAUUUGUUACUACUAUGUUAAUGCUGACAUAUUAACUGGCAGACCUCAUGUACUAACAGUAAAUCCCAGCAUACUUUCUUAAUUUGCUACUAUCCGGAUUUAUUCUUUUAGCGAGAGGUCAGGUAUCACUUGGAACAACUGAGUUUCUUUUUAAUCUUUGUGGACACUACACUUGAACGCCACAACCACCUGGAUAUGUCAGGCAGGACGGGCAGCAGCGCAUCAUCAGUAAGUUUAUUUAAGAGAGUAAAAUUCAGUCGCAAUCAGUCAAUCUCAAUCAGGUUCAGAUUUGGACGCGACCUUGAAUAACGAAGCCCCAACUGGGAAGAACAAGGUUGCAAGAACAAGCAGAUUGACGAUGGGUUCAUGGAAGCUUACCAGGCAGGCAGUCCGCCCGGCGGCUUGAGCAAGCUGCUGCUGGUACCCUACGCGCAGUCGCAGUCCGCACCGGCCAGGGCACACGAGCACUGACGCGCGUGCCGCCUGCCGCUUCACCAUGCCCACGUUGUAGUCGCCACCGAUUCACGGCAGGGCAGAGGGGCCUCGACCUCGUCCUCCUCCACAUCAUCAUCGGCGAUGCCCUUCCCCUCCUGACCCCAACACCAUCAUGCCCCCGCCGACUCAUCUCCCUACAGCGACGGCGACUCCGGAGGCUCCGAGACCUGGGACACCGACAUGAGUGGCUCGUCGGCAUCGGAUCUCCUCCACCCNNNNNNNNNNNNNNNNNNNNNNNNNNNNNNNNNNNNNNNNNNNNNNNNNNNNNNNNNNNNNNNNNNNNNNNNNNNNNNNNNNNNNNNNNNNNNNNNNNNNNNNNNNNNNNNNNNNNNNNNNNNNNNNNNNNNNNNNNNNNNNNNNNNNNNNNNNNNNNNNNNNNNNNNNNNNNNNNNNNNNNNNNNNNNNNNNNNNNNNNNNNNNNNNNNNNNNNNNNNNNNNNNNNNNNNNNNNNNNNNNNNNNNNNNNNNNNNNNNNNNNNNNNNNNNNNNNNNNNNNNNNNNNNNNNNNNNNNNNNNNNNNNNNNNNNNNNNNNNNNNNNNNNNNNNNNNNNNNNNNNNNNNNNNNNNNNNNNNNNNNNNNNNNNNNNNNNNNNNNNNNNNNNNNNNNNNNNNNNNNNNNNNNNNNNNNNNNNNNNNNNNNNNNNNNNNNNNNNNNNNNNNNNNNNNNNNNNNNNNNNNNNNNNNNNNNNNNNNNNNNNNNNNNNNNNNNNNNNNNNNNNNNNNNNNNNNNNNNNNNNNNNNNNNNNNNNNNNNNNNGGAGGCUCGAGCUUGGGAAGGGGGGAGGGGAACGAAGGGGUGGGGCUCCAGGCAAUCCUCACCUCCAAAGACAACUUGACCGGCAACACGGGCAGGCUAGACCUCUUCUAUGGCGAGGCCAACUUCGGCGAGGGGACGAGGUGGUGCGGGACCUUGGAGAUAUCUCCCCCGCGCGUGGAGCUUGUCCGGCGACGCCGCUGAAGAUGCCACUGCCACGACCAGCUCGAUCCUCCUUCGCUGGACUCCGAUCUGGACGAGGACUGAGCUAGGAGGAGGGAAGCGGGAGAGGAGAAGGCGCAGGAGAAGCGGCUGAGCCGGCGGCGCAGGGACCAGGGAGAGAAGAAGGCGAACGAAGAGGGGAUUGACAGAGUGGCGAAGAAGCAUGCGGGCUAGGUUUCCUUUUCUUUUUCUCCCAGCACUGCACAGUUGCUUGUCUCGUAGCUUGCCGGCAUGGCUAUGGCGAGGGCUCGCCCUUGAUGCGUAGGUUAAUGUAUUCGACUAGCGGGGCGCCUCUUGAGAGGAAGCUGAGCGGUGCUAGGUGGGACGCGCCCCUUUCCCUUUCCUGCAUAUACUAUGUAAUGUUAUUGCAUCAGAUUUAAAGUAACAUGCUCAGCUAAGUGCAAAGUGUGAUGAAUAAGUGAAACAGAAGGAAGCUGGUACAUUGGUGUAUGCCAAAAACUGAAUAUUAUAACAUAAACACAUGAAGUCAUCGACGUCUAUGGUAUGAAAUGCACAUGCACAAAAUUAGAGUGCACAUGAAGACAGAGCACUAUAGUGUCCUGAGUUGCAAGUCUCUAAGCACUGAAAUGAUCUGCAAUCAUAUGUACAAAGUAACCGAAUAAGAACAAGAAAUUUAGAGUAAAUGAGCUGUAAAAUUGUAAGUAAUGAGCAUUGGAAUUAAGGCAGAGUCAGUGACAGUUGGGUGCACUUGACAGGAAAAUCGGCGAGGCAUAAUAUGAAAUUAGAGUAAAUGAGUGCGUGCACUUCUCUUGGUGGCACCUAAAUGAAAAAAGAAACUAUUCACCUCUCGAUAUAUUCCCUAAGACCAUAUAAAAUCAGGAAGGUACUGAAGAGAGAUGCUCAAAUUCGAAGUUGCCAUGUCUAGGAAUGCUUGAAGCUUCAAAGAUUUCCUAUAAUACAGCAUGCCUCUAACUAUUCACAAUAAGAAAAACAUGUAAAUGCGGAAUCAACCAAAUGAUGGUAAAUUGUAGUUGAUUUUGGCCAAGCAAACGUCAGAUGAAAGAAACAUACAUGAGUGAACAUCACGAUUGGAUGUUUUAUUCAAAUUUAACAGGUUAAACUCACCAAAUACAUCUGGAUAUUUAGUGUUAAACUUCAACAGAUGGUCAGUUGUAGCUAGAUUCACACCACUGAAGCAAAAUUCCAUCUGCCACGGUUACAUCACACCAUCUUUUCAUCGUUACUAUUUAAAUUCCAAAAGCCUGCAACUCAUUUUUUUUGUUACGAUGUAUGCAUGAUUUUUAACUCAAGAGGAAGAGGGGAAACUAAAUCCAAGAAAAGAACACCAAGGAAGCAUCCAAAAUAGAGAAAGGAAAAAUCCAAAAUAGAGGCAGAAUCGAAGGGAAGAAACCCCAUAAAAAAUAGGAGAUCAAACGGUGAAAAAAAUCUAAGAGUCAAACAAUUCCAGGUAAGACCAAAUCGACGGCAAAAUAGCACAAGAGGGACUCACAUUAACAGGUAUACCAAUUCAGAAAGAAGUGUAAAGCAAACAGUGCAAUGGACCACUAGUAUAAAUUGGAUGUACACAAACAUGGGACUUAAACAGGAACUGCGAGAUGCAGGGUUCACGUGCAAACCCAAAAAACGGAAAACUGAAACCCACAACAAGAUUUUAUCUUCAUAUAUAUAUAUAUAUAUAUAUAUAUAUAUAUAUAUAUAUAUAUAUAUAUAUAUAUAUAUAUAUAUAUAUAUAUAUAUAUAUAUNNNNNNNNNNNNNNNNNNNNNNNNNNNNNNNNNNNNNNNNNNNNNNNNNNNNNNNNNNNNNNNNNNNNNNNNNNNNNNNNNNNNNNNNNNNNNNNNNNNNNNNNNNNNNNNNNNNNNNNNNNNNNNNNNNNNNNNNNNNNNNNNNNNNNNNNNNNNNNNNNNNNNNNNNNNNNNNNNNNNNNNNNNNNNNNNNNNNNCCUAUCUAUUAGUUGCUUCUUCCGAAUCCCCACCUAUCAAGCGUUUUCUUUGAAUAAACAAACACAAUAGUAUUCUCUGAAUUAUACUGUACAGUGAUAAUUAACCAAGCGACUGGAAUUAACAAUAUUAUGAGCUAUUGGCUUUUUAGUCAGGUAAAUAUCAUUCUUAAGACUACGGAAAACAGCAGGCGGCGAAGAAAACAUCUAUUGAUGAGAACUAUACACAUACUUAAGAAGGAAGUGACAUCUAUGGUAGCAGAACAUAUAUCAAGCUGUUGCAGCUACAUUAGCAGUUUAGCACAGUCCCUCCAUAAUACACAGGCUAGUGUAAUUUCACAAAUACAAUAAGCUAACAAUAUAUAUUUGGUAGAUGGAAAUGGCUGGAUCAUGACCAAUAUACGAUUACACAUCCGAUGAUGCAAAUAAAGAAACGAGGCCCAACAAUAGUGGAAAAUAAACCACAAUAGAACAUGUAUUUGGCGAAACCUCCAUACUGCAAUAUCAAACAUGAAUUGAAAUUAACAAUCUAGCAAAAAAACAUGACAGAUGCAGUCUUGGUCAUUUUUUCUUUUGUGACAUCCCCUAAAAAAAGUAAAAAGAAUGUUGUUCGUAUUUUACCAGAGAUACACUGAGCUGGGACAAAUCGGUCUGAAAUAAAAUAUGAUGGCUUCGGAGGAUUCGGAAGGCAAGAAAUUUGCUUUCUUCCAACAUAUAUGGUCUGCUGAACUAAACUUUGUUUCAGCGAGCUUUGGCAAAAAUCUGUAACUGCAAACAUCAAACUUGUGUGCCCUUCCUACAUCAAACUUUAAACCUGACGGAUUAAAUAUUUUAGGUUAGGCUGAGAUCAGUGUACUUUAUGAGUGUUAAGUGUACUUUCUAAAUAGCAGAGAAACCAUAACAUCUAAGCACAACCCAGCAACUUGUACAAGCUAACAUCAAAUCUGAAAGAGGAAAUGUCGAGAACAGGUGAAGGUACCAUGAUCCAUGACUGAGCAAAGUUAUCUAUAAUCCUCGGUGAAUAUCAUAAAUUAGGAUCAACAAAGCUGAAGAACAAACGGGAAAGGAACCUAGAAAGAUCUUCUGCCGGUAGAAUAUAACUGAUACACUAUCCUCAUUCUCGAGAUCAAGGUCGUUUCUUGAAUUGCAGUUUCCUCACUGUAGUAUGGGGUCAUUACACUGCGAAGAACAAAGUGUCAUAUGAAUCAUUUAGAGCCCAAUCUUUUUCACUGAAACUCUUAUGAUCACAUAACGAAUUUAAACAUAAGGUUUAUUAGAUAUUUGUUGUUGUGAACUGAUAAUAUAUUUCUGGUGUUGACAAUGUUUUGAUUAUGGAUGCACUUCAAGAUGGGUGGCACAGAUUCUGUUGUACAGGCCUCCACCUGGAAUUUCAUCACUUGUUAUUUUUGUUUAGAAUGUCUAGGUGCAUUUUUCCUUUAAGGUGGAAACAGAUGUACUUGUAUAAGCAACAAGAAUACAAAGCGCCACUGCCAUACAUUGUGGAAGUUCAAUGCUUCUGUUUACAAAAUCUGCUUCCCAAAACAGAAGGAUUUAUAAUUUUUUAUUACAAUCAAGCGGACAUGAGCUGAUGAGUACAGAUGUAAACAUGUACUGAGAGCAGCACCCUUUCAAAAGUGGAUCAUUUACAAGUUGGAUAGUUUGAUGGUCUGAAAUUAGUGGUCGUGUUUCAGAAUUGUUAUCGAAUAGUAGAGGAUAUAUAUUAACUUCUGAAAUUAGUGGCUGUUUGUCAGAACUGUUAUCGAAUAACAGAGCACAUAUAUUAACUUCAAUAAGUGGAGUAAUAUCUUUGGAUUCGCUGUGAGGAAAGAUUACCAAAACAAAACAGAAGUGAGUGCGACGACCCAGAUGAGGGCGCUCUUGAGCCUCUUCCCGACCGACCUAGAUGCAGGAGCAGAACACCGCGGAUCUAAUCAGCCAACGAAUAAAGCCGAGGCAGGUAGAGGAAGUAAGGGAGGAAGAAGACUGACUUGUCCUGGUCGCCCUCGUAGUAGAAUAUGGUGAACGGGAUGACGAGGAAGACGAGGACAGCGUCGAGGAUGUAGACGACGAGCCAGAGCGUCUUCAUGGGCAGGAUAAGGGCGCAGGCCCCGUUGUAGGCGGCGUGCUUGCAGGUCUGGCGGUUGGCGACGUCAGCGGGGAGCAUGAGGAUGGAGAGGACGGCGACGGUGAUGCCGAGCACGACGACGAGCUUGGGGAAGUAGGCCUGGUUGGCAUCAUCCGGGUGCUGGUAGUUGACGAGCAUGUAGACGCUGACGAGGAGCACCAGGAUGCUGACCACCGCCGCCACGAUCACUAGCGCCACGUUAAAAACCCCAUCUCCUCGGGGCUCCGGUCCCGGUUCCGGCCCGCCGCCUCGCCCCCGUUGGUCGGUCAGAUCUCUCUGUCCCUAGAGGCGGGGGGAUACAGGCUAGGGUUUGGGCGUGGGCGGGGAAUAGGCUGCUAUGGUGUCGGCAGCGGGGCGGCCACCGGCGGGGAGGGCGGGAUCCGCGCGGGGUGGCGGGAUUUGGGCAGGCGGUGGGCUCGGGGGAGGGCGGUGGCAGCGAAGCAGCAGGGAGGGGCUGGAGGAGAUGAAACGAAAGAGGUCGCGUGACACAGCGACAGCGUCGUCCAAUCCCCUCGCUGCCGAUUUAAAAAAAGGUAAUGAUAACUCCCGAACGUUCAGGAGUUAAGCAUGGCAACCCGAACGGGUUUAGAUGGCAAGUUUAGUUUGCGUGAGAUUAGAGAAACAUGGCAAUUUUCUGACAAAAGAAAUGAAAAAGGACGAAGUUGCCAUCCCCUAUCAACUAAAGUUGCCAUCCCUAUGAACUAAAGUUGCCAUGUAAAAACGUUCGGGAUGAAAUGCUCAAAAUCCGAACGUUCGGAAGUUAUUGGAUUCAAAAAAAAUCCCCUUGCUGCCAAUCGCUGGCCCGUUUCUUUUUUCGCCCAAUCGCUAGGUGAUGACGUGGCUAUCACGGGAAGGCGCCCUUGAUGCGUAGUCGAAUGGUUUUAAUUAAUAGGAAGCGAGUGCUUACUCUAGUUACUGAAUUAUGUACACCAAAUAAAGCCAUUUACACGUAGUUAAUGACAAAAAAAGUUGAUGUUUGCUACGCAAACGUGUAGUACAAAUUAAGAAGUGCAAGAUAAAAAAAAAUGCUGGUCCUUGAUUCGUUGUUGAUCGUCAGCAUGCCAUCAUCAAUUUGUAGUUAAUUAUCAUACAAAUUGGCUCUUUCAUAGAGUUGGAGGCUAGCUCCUUUGAUCAGCACGCGCUUAAACAUAAACAGCACGUAUAUGUUUUGUCUCCGGAGUUCAAUUCUUCAUCGGCCAGCAAAAAUGGCCCGACCGGGUAGAGGAAAAGGCAUGUUUGUUAGUACGCCUGGAGGAAAUGCCUUUGAUUAGGGCAUCUUCAACAGCGACCAGUAAAUUUCCUCCCGCGUUCGUCCACGGAUAGGGGAUCAGUCCGCGGAUACGGAUACAGGAAUCAUCUAUCUAACGCUGUCCGCGUAUAUUUCAAACACAUUUUUUUUAAAAAAAUAGGAUGAAAUUCAUGCAAACACAAUGGAUUUCAUACAAACCGGACAAAAAUGUUUACAUUUUGGACAUAUUUUUUUUACUAAAAACUCUACAGCCGGCGCCGGCGAAUAUCCACUCCGGCGACAUGGAACCCUUGACUAGUCUACUGCCGGCCGCAGCGGAUCUCCAAUGUCGUCCCCAUGUCCGGCAACUAUGAGCCCUAGAGGUAUAUGCUUCAGCGCAAAGAGCGGCUCGCCUCCCUACCGCUCAUCGGAGUGGAACAACCAGCUGAUGCUUCUGCCGAUGGAAAGGGUCCCUACGCUACACGGAUUAGAGUUGGUUUUGGGCUGGGAACGGCGGUGGCCUGCCAGAGGGCAAGACACCGACUGUGUAUGCUGGUGUCACCUGGUGUGGCAUUCGUGGGACCCAAGCGGCAGCGCCUCCUCGAUGAUGGCGGCGAGCGCGGACGUGUUGGACACCACCUCGUCGAUGUCCGUGCAGCCCGCUUCUUUCUCUGUAGGAAGGACGCGGUUACGCUCGCGUUGACAUCGGAUGACUCGGUCACAUGCACGGGAGGGGCGGUACGACAUGGCACCGCCAAUGGCAGCCAUGAUGCCCGCGCCAGCGUGCUCUCUCCCAGUGCCGACCUAGAGCAACUUGCCACUCCUCUGCUCGUGAACGGUGGGCUUGACGGGCCACCUAGCCAUUUUUUAUGCCAGACAACUCUUCUUCCUGCUCGUCAGAUGUCAUGGAUAAAACUGUUUAAGGAGGAAAAUGAUGAGUAGACGUGUGAUGCGGUUCUUGCCCAACAUCUGACAUUGUUUAAAUAGCGAGGGGACACGAGAGGAGCCAACUGGCGUUCUGUUUAAUGCCAACCGGCUCGCGAACGAACAUGUGGCUGGAGUAAUUAUCCUGGCACACACGCGGGUUUAAUGGUGGAAGGUGGGCAGUCUGCAGGAAUGAGGCGAGGAUGUGUGCUUAGCCGGCGUGCAGCAGGCGGCGCCCUCGGCCGGCGUGCUGCAUCCAUUGCGGAGGCAGUGAGAGGUCGCGUCCGCUCUGCAGCGCAUGAAUGCGGGCAGCUGGCGCAGAGCGGGAACGCGUGCGGGCGAGGGAGGAGGGGGUUUGGGCGGGUGGUCAGAAGAGGUCGUGGGUGUUGUCCGAACGCCUGCAAAGCCCCCCUCCAUGUUUGUCUCCAGUUUGCGGGAGAAAGUAUGUCCGAACCGUCUCCAAUGGACCAAUACAGGCCCGCAUUGGAUGGCACAACACGUCCGGACCAUGUGGUCCGGAUGGUUGUGGACAGUUUAAUUGAGGGUCGGCGUUGGAGAUACCUUAGAGUUUAUGAAUCCAUUGUGUUUUUCUAAUCAUAAAAAAGCACUUACAAUAAGUUAUAAGGAAAGACACGUUUAUAUGUUAGGUUCAGACUCCAGCUUUCGUUUUACAUAUGCUUUAUUCAUCCGACUGAUUCCAAUAGAGUGAGCCUAGCGUUGUUUUUCUGGAAACUCGCGGGAUAAGGAGACAUGCAUACACAUUCUUUCAAGCAAAUCACAUCCAUCCUUUUUAACUCAUUUUUCUUCUUUUAAUAAUAUAAUAGAUCAUUUAUAUUUUUAUCUGAAACAGUUGACGUGUAAUUUAUAUUGUAAUCUGAGGAUAAUGUUUGGAUUUUACUUUCAAAUAUAUUUGAAAUGGCCAUGAUGGAAUCACAUCCAUUUAUUUUAUUAUUAUUUGAAUUUGAUCCAAAAGAUAAAUAAUGAGUAGAGGUCAUGUCAACUUUUCUGAGAACUUUGCUAAUCAAAAUAUAAUUGUAUUUAAAAACAUCUAUUUUUUAGCACGCAUGAAAAAGAUAACACGUAUCUUUUCACACAUAAUGAACGGUUGUCAUAAGAACUCAUGCCAUGCCACAACCUCCCUCCGACCCUGCCAACAUUGUUGCAGCUGCACUCGCAAGCCUUAGCGUAGAUGAUAAUUUAUACAAUUUGCGUAAAACAAAAUAAGAUCUACAAAUGAAUAGAAGCUAGAACGUACAUUGGCAUGCACACACAUUGCAAGCCAUACUAAGCUGAUAAGUGUUAAUAACUUGUACAACAUAUACAACACUUAAGACAAGUAAAAGCAAUUUGAUGAGUCAUGGUCUAUCAAAGCCACAUUACUAGUCUAAUCCAUCUUAACAGGUCACACAUGAUUAAAAUCUUGUUUGUGUGCAAGUCAAGCUUAUCUAGUUUACAUGUAACAACUUGUAGAACAUUACAAAAUUUAUGUUUGCUAAUAACUUCUAGAACACUACAACACUUGACAUGUAAAAGGAAUUUGAUGAGUUAGCGUACUAAAGCAAGUUAUAUUACUAGUCUUAUCUACCUUAACAGGCCACACAAGAUUACAAACCAAGUUCUGUGCCAGCCAUGCUUAUCUAGAUUAUGCGUAACAAUUUGCAGAAAAUUACAAACUUAGUUUCAGAAAAAUAGGCAAUCUAGAUUAGUGUUUGAGCUGUAAAGUGAGUAAAAUGAGUCAUGCGUGUUAUCACACCUUUUUGGUUGUGGAAUGAUAGUGCAACAACAAGGAACUUUAAUGACCAGUUCAAGAAUACACUUGUAAGUAGUGCCACCGAACACAACAUACCAAAUUAUGAUUUUGAGAAGCAUCCAAGCACUUCCACACAAGCAAAUGCCAAUUGUGAAAGAGAUCAUGCCAUGGCAGCUAUAAAUAGGCCCGUAGCAUGACGAUCAUCCUUCCUCAUCCAUCAUUCUCAUAAGUAGAGCGCAUCAUUUAAGCCAAGCAAGCAGUGCUCAAUACAAAUCCACCAUGAAGACCUUUCUCAUCCUUGCCCUCCUUGCUAUUGUAGCAACCACCGCCACAAUUGCAGUUAGAGUUCCAGUGCCACAAUUGCAGCCACAAAAUCCAUCUCAGCAACAACCACAAGAGCAAGUUCCAUUGGUACAACAACAACAAUUUCCAGGGCAGCAACAACCAUUUCCACCACAACAGCCAUAUCCGCAGCCGCAACCAUUUCCAUCACAACAACCAUAUCUGCAGCUGCAACCAUUUCCGCAGCCGCAACUACCAUAUCCGCAGCCGCAACUACCAUAUCCGCAGCCGCAACCAUUUCGACCACAACAACCAUAUCCACAACCGCAACCACAGUAUUCGCAACCACAACAACCAAUUUCGCAGCAGCAGCAGCAGCAGCAACAACAACAACAACAAAAACAACAACAACAACAACAACAACAGAUCCUUCAACAAAUUUUGCAACAACAACUGAUUCCAUGCAGGGAUGUUGUAUUGCAACAACACAGCAUAGCGUAUGGAAGCUCACAAGUUUUGCAACAAAGUACUUACCAGCUGGUGCAACAAUUGUGUUGUCAGCAGCUGUGGCAGAUCCCCGAGCAGUCGCGGUGCCAAGCCAUCCACAAUGUUGUUCAUGCUAUUAUUCUGCAUCAACAGCAACAACAACAACAACAACAACAACAACCGUUGAGCCAGGUCUCCUUCCAACAGCCUCAACAACAAUAACCAUCAGGCCAGGGCUCCUUCCAGCCAUCUCAGCAAAACCCACAGGCCCAGGGCUCUGUCCAGCCUCAACAACUGCCCCAGUUUGAGGAAAUAAGGAACCUAGCGCUAGAGACGCUACCUGCAAUGUGCAAUGUCUAUAUCCCUCCAUAUUGCACCAUUGCUCCAGUUGGCAUCUUCGGUACUAACUGAGAAGAGAAGAACUCUAGUAGUAGAUAUAUGAUACACCGUUUUCUUAGUCCAUGGUUUGGUCGUUGUAGCGGUGAAAAAAUAAAGUGACAUGCACUAUCAUGUAAGAACCCGAACUAUACUAGUUCAAACAUGGGAAUAAAAGACAAACACAUGUCUUGUCUACAUAUGAUUGUUUGUUUGAGUUCCACUCAUGUGCCCACUCACAAGUUCACCCCUAAUUAUAUAUAUUAUGCAUUAAGUAGAUAUUUAUGUUGCAUUAAUCUAAAGAUAACAAAAUGAGUCUGAAAUUUGAAUUAAAUUGAAGUAUUUCCUUGGACUUUCAAAUGGAGUAUUAUUAAAGUAGUAAGGACUAUCCACAUCCUUGGCUUGCCCUUGAUCAAUUAUUUCCAGAGAAGCAUUCAAUUCAUUAAUCAAUUACAUUGAUUUUUGUGGCUGAUACUUUUCCUCAACAUGAGUAUAUUCAUCGCGGCUACUCCAAAUAGGCAUGAAUGAGGUACCGGUGCUCUGGAGCACUGGUACCUAACUGCUUCUCAUGUGAAGGGGUGGGGGUGCGGGAGAGGUGUUUUUGGUGGGCCAGGGGAGUAAGAAGCGGCCGUGGCAGCGGUCCAGACACCCACAAAGCCCCGUAGUUUGUUUUUGGUUUACAGGAAAAUGCACAUCCAGACCGGCCUGCGGGCCGAUAUAGGACCGUAUUGAAUGGCAAAACAUGUCCGGAUGGUUGCGAGCGGUUUAAGGGUUAGCUUUUGUAACGGCCGGUUAGUUAUGCUAUGGUAAUUCCCUGCUAAUGAUGUCACGUCAGCACGAUUACUGUUGUUAACCUCACAAUGAUUCAAUCCCAUUCAAAUUCAAAUUUAAAAUAAAGGCAAACAUCAAAAGUUUCAAACAUUAAAACUAAAAUCUUCGAGAGGUGAAAAAUAAUGCAUAAGUAAUUAUGGUGGAGAAACCACACUUUUAUAAAAUGUUUAAAUACUCUAAAAAUAAUAAAACAGUGGCUUAAACUAUUAUUUAAAUGCUUUUAAAAUAGUAAAAAUGUUCUAACUAAAUUAAUUGGGUACCAAACUUUUGGUGGCAGUGGUAUAUUUAGUAGAACUAAUUUAGAUGCUAAUAAAACAUAAAAGGAAAGACAAAACAAAUAAAAGUAAAAGGGGGCAACCCCUCGCUGGGCCUCGGCCAAGCUGGCCACUGGGCUAGCUAGGUUGGCCCAACCGCCUCCCUUAACCCCCCACUCCCCAUCGAACCCUAGACCGAUCGCCCCACUUCCCCACACCCCCUCGUCAGCCUCCCCACCUCUCGAUCCCAUCUGGAUCGGGGAGGGGAUCGCCCCCAUCGACCCCGUCGCGGUCGCUGGAUCGCCCGCUCGCCCAUCGCCCGCCGGCGUCGCCGGACCUCCUCCCCGUCGCACGUCUCCGGCUCUCCUCCCCUCUCGCUCCUCUUCCCCGACCCGAUCUGGAUCGGGAAGGGCCAAUGAGCCCAACGCCCCCCUCCAUCGACGCUGUGCUCCAGCACCGCCGCCCGAAGACCUCGCCAUCGCCGGACCUCGCGUCGCCUCCUCGUAUCCCUCCCCGACUCGCCUCCUCAAGCCACGCCGACCCCCUUCUCGGCAACGCUGUGAGCCGCCUCCGUUUCCCUCCUUCUCUUUCCACCGUGUUCACCGCGCCGCCUGCCGUGCCCCUCGCCGCGCGCACGCCCACCACCGCGCCAGCCCCCGCUCCGCGCCCUCUCCUGCACGCUUGUGCGCGCAUGACCCUAGCCGCGCCCACGCCGUGAUCCCCUUGUCCCGCCCGCCUUCGUCCCGCGCUCGCCGCGGCCCCCAUGCUCCCCUGCGCCCUCUUUUGGGGUCGUCGGCUGCCCCUGUCCCGCAGCUCGCUGGCAUGCGUCCCCGCCCGCGCCUCGCCACUGCUCUACUGCUACGCUACUAUUGCGCUGUGGCCGCCGCCGCUUCCCGCUGCUCUGCCAGCGCCAAAGGUCCCGGUUGGCCCUGCCGCUGCUCGCGUUUAACCGCCGGCCUAAGCGGCCUAACCUCCCCCCUCACUAAUGAACCCCCACCGACCGGCUGACACCGGGACCCACAUCCCCUAAUUAACCAUUUAAUAAAUUAAAACUCUUAAAUUAACAUUAGUGUAUGACAUGUGGGUCCCCUAUUAAUUAAACUGAUUUAAUUAAAAUCUAUUAACUUUGAGUCUAUGACAUAUGGGCCCCACUAAACAUUUGACCAAUCAACGGUCCAGUCAAAUGCUGACCGGACAGUUGACCAGAGGGCCCCGCCAGUCAGCCAAUGUGCUGUUCUGCUGGGUACCUUUCUAAGUACACCUAGCAUUUUGCAUUUACAAUAUUUGUUUUAAAAUAAAUUAGAAUAAUUUCAAAAAAAAUUAAAACUUUUAAAAUUAAAAUAAAAUAAUCCGUAACUCGGAUGAAAUUACUUUAUACAUGGAAGUUGCUCAAAAAACGAGAUGAAUCCGAAUACACAGUCCGUUCGUCUGCCACGCGUCCCUAGCAUAGCGAACAUGCAACCAUCCCCCUCCGGUUCGACUGUUCGAAAAAUUAUUAUUGCACAUGCCCGCUAAGAGGCUGGCUGUAUAUGACAUGACAACUUCUUAUAGCCGACCCUUGGCUGUAUUAUUAACCAUGCUCUUAGUGAGGUAGCUAGUAUAUCAUAGACGACUAGCUAGUAUCAGACUAGCCAAAGUGGGAGUAACUUCAGCAGUAACAUCGACUCCAACUCAGCAAACUUGCUUAUGUGGGAGUAAACCGUGCACAAUGCAAAAUACAAUCCCAGUCGUAAUUUUUUCAGGAAAUGUGUGGGAUCCCAAACGAAAAGCACACGUCACUCUUGCGGCAACUGUUGGUGACACCCAAUAAAUCACAAACGGUCUGCAGUAGCUGUAUGUGUGCAAAGGGGCUCCUGAACCGUUUGUGAUAGAACAUUAUCGCAGACGGUAAUUGUUGGCAAACGUGUGCGAUGGAGUCUAGCAUGGC